rnacentral:rRNA from 1 species
AUUGAACGCUGGCGGCAGGCCUAACACAUGCAAGUCGGACGGUAGCACAGAGGAGCUUGCUCCUCGGGUGACGAGUGGCGGACGGGUGAGUAAUGUCUGGGGAUCUGCCCGAUAGAGAGGGAUAACCACUGGAAACGGUGGCUAAUACCGCAUAACGUCGUAAGACCAAAGAGGGGGACCUUCGGGCCUCUCACUAUCGGAUGAACCCAGAUGGGAUUAGCUAGUAGGCGGGGUAACGGCCCACCUAGGCGACGAUCCCUAGCUGGUCUGAGGGGAUGACCAGCCACACUGGAACUGAGACACGGUCAGACUCCUACGGGAGGCAGCAGUGGGGAAUAUUGCACAAUGGGCGCAAGCCUGAUGCAGCCAUGCCGCGUGUAUGAAGAAGGCCUUCGGGUUGUAAAGUACUUUCAGCGGGGAGGAAGGCGAUGUGGUUAAUAACCGCGUCGAUUGACGUUACCCGCAGAAGAAGCACCGGCUAACUCCGUGCCAGCAGCCGCAGUAA